ACCCUGCAAUCAAAUAGAUUGUCCCAAGGGCGCCAUAUUCUAGGAGCCCAAGUUAUGCUAUUGAAAAUCCGUUCCUCUAGCAGUUCCGGUUUGAGCAUUCCGUUCCCUUUUUCAAACUCCACUUCUUUUAGGUAUUCCUCCUUUAGAUAUGAGAGAACAAUAUCCAUUUCAAAACAUUUCUGACGGAUUCCUUAGUUCGGACCGAUGAAGUAA
rnacentral:rRNA from 1 species